rnacentral:misc_RNA from 1 species
UUAAGAACUUGUAUGGACUUAAAAUUUAGCCUUUAACAGGCCUAAUUCAUAUUUUACAUAUUUAUAAUAAGAACUAAAUGACCAUUGUUAUCUGAAGUUGAAAAUAGUCAACACAUAAAAUUACACACGAUGCACAUGGCAAUAAACAUGCAAAUAUAAUUCGUUAGCCCAGCAGUUCAGCUUUGAUUAGCUAAUAAAUUGGUUUCAGAUUGGGAACCCAAGGCUCUAAUCCCUAGCCAAUCUACAGACUGACAGAAAAGCUCCACACAAAUAGGAUUGUUAGUGUUAGUCCACAAUAAAUCCGAAAAUGUGUCAGUUCCCUCCAUGUAUGAAAUCUCAUUCCAACAGAAAAAGAAUUUUCUUAAUACACAAUCGACUCCCGCUGUAUUCCUCUGGUGCAAAUCUGUUCUUCCAGAUUAUGGUUGUUCUCUUUGCACACAUGCAUUAAAUUUUACCUAUAGCCUCUUCCUCUUCCACGCCCACCCCACCCCCUACCCCUGCCUCUUGUACCGCCCCUCCCUCCAUGAGAUAUACCUUCCAAUGCCCUGUUCACCAGUUGGUUUUGUAAGCCACCAGCACCACGGCCCUUUUUCACCAUGUUGCCAGACCCAUUAACAGCAGUAGCAGGCCGUUUUGCUCCAGUUGCUGUGGUGGUGGAACGCACAGAAGGUUUUGUUGCUUCUUUCCAAGAGGGGUUGAUGCUCUUAUCUCCAAUAAAUGAAGGUGUCUUGGAAUGCAAAGGCUUUGUCAUUGCCAAAAUGUUAUUGCAAGUUCGCAACCCAGUUGUAGUAUUCUGUUUCUGAGUUUUUAUGUUAUCCUUAGCCUCAUCUGACUUUGCAGCUGCCAUUGCUUUGUUGUGUUCAGCCAUUCCCUGAGUUAAUUUUUU